rnacentral:rRNA from 1 species
AUUGAACGCUGGCGGCAUGCUUUACACAUGCAAGUCGAACGGUAACAGGGAGCUUGCUCCGCUGACGAGUGGCGAACGGGUGAGUAAUGCGUCGGAACGUGCCGAGUAGUGGGGGAUAACGCAUCGAAAGGUGUGCUAAUACCGCAUACGUACUGAGGUAGAAAGUGGGGGACCUUCGGGCCUCACGCUAUUCGAGCGGCCGACGUCUGAUUAGCUAGUUGGUGAGGUAAAGGCUCACCAAGGCGACGAUCAGUAGCGGGUCUGAGAGGAUGAUCCGCCACACUGGGACUGAGACACGGCCCAGACUCCUACGGGAGGCAGCAGUGGGGAAUUUUGGACAAUGGGCGCAAGCCUGAUCCAGCCAUGCCGCGUGUCUGAAGAAGGCCUUCGGGUUGUAAAGGACUUUUGUCCGGGAGCAAAUGCCUGGUGUUAAUAGCAUCGGGAGCUGAGAGUACCGGGAGAAUAAGCACCGGCUAACUACGUGCCAGCAGCCGCGGUAACAC